UACGUAGGGUGCGAGCGUUGUCCGGAAUUACUGGGCGUAAAGAGCUCGUAGGUGGUUUGUCGCGUUGUUCGUGAAAACCGGGGGCUUAACCCUCGGCGUGCGGGCGAUACGGGCAGACUUGAGUACUGCAGGGGAGACUGGAAUUCCUGGUGUAGCGGUGGAAUGCGCAGAUAUCAGGAGGAACACCGAUGGCGAAGGCAGAUCUCUGGGCCUUACCUGACGCUGAGGAGCGAAAGCUGGGGGAGCGAACAGG
rnacentral:rRNA from 1 species